rnacentral:rRNA from 1 species
GAGGAUGCGAGCGUUAUCCGGAUUUAUUGGGUGUAAAGGGAGCGUAGGCGGGAAAGCAAGUCAGAAGUGAAAACUAUGGGCUCAACCCAUAGCCUGCUUUUGAAACUGUUUUUCUUGAGUGAGUCAGAGGCAAGCGGAAUUCCCAGUGUAGCGGUGAAAUGCGUAGAUAUUGGGAGGAACACCAGUGGCGAAGGCGGCUUGCUGGGGCUUUACUGACGCUGAGGCUCGAAAGCGUGGGGAGCAAA